UUAAGUAUCUUUAGCUCUGCCUCUUUAUGAUUGUCGAUGGAAAUGACUCAGCAGAAUUCACAAGCACUUUCCUGUGCCACAGGAUCCCAUGAGCCUCUUCUUCUGUCCAAAGUGAAACCACUAAGCCUCAGAGGAAAGUGCACAUCCAGUCGGUCUGGUCUGGUCCCCUGCAUGUCUUGGGAAGGCUGGGUCCAGAUGGUUUCUCGACUACAAAGAGCUGCAGAUGAAAGCCCCAGAUGGGAGUUCCUGUCUUGACUGGAUGUGAGCGUGUCUGUCCAUCUGCAGUUGGAGCUCAAUGACACUCACAUUCUCUGACUACAGGAUUAUUUACAUUAUUGAGAAAUGGCUGCUGCAGACCCUGCAGCCAUGGUACUCUGCAUGGUAGAAAAAGACUGUGUAAGGAAAGUGCCUGGCCAUCAGGAUUUUGAAAGGCCAUGAAAUGUAUGGAAGAACAGCAUCAAAUUUAAGAUGGGAAAUUUAAGAACCAUGGUAAGGAGAGCUGGAUGACCGUUAGUUAUCCCAAAAGACUAACCAACACCUUUUAGUUUGUCUGGGAAAUUUUGCUUAGACUGGAGGAUGGAUAGUUGUCCCCGAGGUUGCAGACCCUAAAGAAUGACUUGAUGUAGCGGAUUUGAGAGAGGAGGGUCAAAAACUCCUUUUCCUUUUGGUUUAAAAUUGGGAAUGUUGCUUGAAUCUCAGAGAUUUUUUUGUCUUUAUCUUAUUUGUCUAGAAAAUGUUGGGUUGCAACCUUGCCAACAGUUUUACUUAUUCCACACCAUAAAGAGCAAAUCGAUAACUUAAUAGAGGAAUAAAAAGAUUUGUUUUCCUGGUUACAACAGUACAUUGUGGAUGUAGCCUGAUUCUCAAGGCUCUUAUUUUUUAUUUUCUGGGAAAGUCCAUGUUUGUUGGAGACAGAAGCUUCAAAAAAUUUCCAUUUUUAAUACGUUCAUUCAUUCUUUUGAUUGUGCAUGUAACGGUCUAUAUAUAGCGCAGUCUGCAGUGCAUGAGCAAUGUAUAAUUUUUUGUACAGCGGUGGGGCAAAAGGAUAACAUGUAAUAGCAGUAAGUGAUGUAGAAAACCUAGAAGAAUAAAGAAUUAGUGUAACUUUGUGGAAAACCGCUCGUAAACAGAAAACAGGUUACAAGAACAGAACAUUUGUGAUGUCAAGAAUACAAAAUUAAGAAGUUAUCUCAAGAAAGUAA